GGGGGCUUUAACCCAUGCAAGUCGAACGGAAGCGUACAUUAGAAGUUUUCGGAUGGAAGAUAUACGUUUUAGUGGCGGACGGGUGAGUAACGCGUGAGUAACCUGCCUUUCAGAGGGGGAUAACGUUUUGAAAAGAACGCUAAUACCGCAUAACGCAUAGUUGUCGCAUGGCAAUUAUACCAAAGGAGCAAUCCGCUGAAAGAUGGACUCGCGUCCGAUUAGCCAGUUGGCGGGGUAACGGCCCACCAAAGCGACGAUCGGUAGCCGGACUGAGAGGUUGAACGGCCACAUUGGGACUGAGACACGGCCCAGACUCCUACGGGAGGCAGCAGUGGGGGAUAUUGCGCAAUGGGGGAAACCCUGACGCAGCAACGCCGCGUGAAUGAGGAAGGUCUUCGGAUUGUAAAGUUCUUUUGUCGGGGACGAAGAAGUGACGGUACCUGACGAAUAAGCUCCGGCUAACUACGUGCCAGCAGCCGCGGUAAUACGUAGGGAGCAAGCGUUAUCCGGAAUUAUUGGGUGUAAAGGGUGCGUAGACGGGAACUUAAGUUGGUUGUGAAAUCCCUUGGCUUAACUGAGGAACUGCAACCAAAACUGAGAUUCUUGAGUGCAGGAGAGGAAAGCGGAAUUCCUAGUGUAGCGGUGAAAUGCGUAGAUAUUAGGAGGAACACCAGUGGCGAAGGCGGCUUUCUGGACUGUAACUGACGUUGAGGCACGAAAGUGUGGGGAGCAAACAGGAUUAGAUACCCUGGUAGUCCACACUGUAAACGAUGGAUACUAGGUGUAGGAGAUGAUUUCAUCAUCUGUGCCGAAAGCCAACGCAAUAAGUAUCCCACCUGGGGAGUACGGCCGCAAGGUUGAAACUCAAAGGAAUUGACGGGGGCCCGCACAAGCAGUGGAGUAUGUGGUUUAAUUCGAAGCAACGCGAAGAACCUUACCAGGGCUUGACAUAUAGAGUAAUAUUUAAGAGAUUAAAUAGCUCUUCGGAGACUCUAUACAGGUGGUGCAUGGUUGUCGUCAGCUCGUGUCGUGAGAUGUUGGGUUAAGUCCCGCAACGAGCGCAACCCUUGUUCUUAGUUGCCAGCAUGUAGAGAUGGGAACUCUAAGAAGACUGCCGGUGAUAAAUCGGAGGAAGGUGGGGACGACGUCAAAUCAUCAUGCCCUUUAUGUCCUGGGCUACACACGUACUACAAUGGCCGCAACAAAGAGAAACGAAUCAGCGAUGAUGAGUAAAACUAAAAAACCGGUCUCAGUUCGGAUUGAAGGCUGAAAUUCGCCUUUAUGAAGUCGGAAUUGCUAGUAAUGGCAGGUCAGCAUACUGCCGUGAAUACGUUCCCGGGCCUUGUACACACCGCCCGUCACACCAUGAGAGUUGGAGAUACCCGAAGCCUGUGAGCUAACUUUAGGAGCAGCA
rnacentral:rRNA from 1 species